rnacentral:rRNA from 1 species
GAAGCGGCAAUAGCUCAAAUUUGAAAUCUGACCCCUUUGGGGCCGAGUUGUAAUUUGCAGAGGGUGUUUCGGGCGCGGGGCCGGUUUAAGUCCUUUGGAACAGGGUGUCGUAGAGGGUGAGAACCCCGUAUGUGACCGGCCGCUAAACCUCUGUGAAACCCCUUCGACGAGUCGAGUUGUUUGGGAAUGCAGCUCAAAAUGGGUGGUAAAUUUCAUCUAAAGCUAAAUAUUGGCCAGAGACCGAUAGCGCACAAGUAGAGUGAUCGAAAGAUGAAAAGCACUUUGGAAAGAGAGUCAAACAGCACGUGAAAUUGUUGAAAGGGAAGCGCUUGCGACCAGACCUGCUCGCGGGUGAUCAGCGGUGCUUUUCGCGCCGUGCACUCGCCCGCGAUCAGGCCAGCAUCGGUUCAGGCGGCCGGAUAAAGACUCGGAGAAUGUGGCUCCCUCCGGGGAGUGUUAUAGCUUCUUGUGCAAUACGGCCAGCCGGGACCGAGGACCGCGCU